rnacentral:rRNA from 1 species
UAGAGUUUGAUCGUGGCUCAGAACGAACGUUGGCGGCGUGGAUUAGGCAUGCAAGUCGUGGGCGAAAGGGGGCUUCGGCCCCCGAGUAGACCGGCGAACGGGGCAGUAAUGCAUGGGUAACCAACCCUCUGGAUGGGGAUAACCGCGGGAAACUGCGGCUAAUACCCAGCGAAGUUGCCGGGGGCAUCCCCAGGCAACCAAACGGUGCGAUUCCGCCGGAGGACGGGCCCAUGUGGCAUUAGCUAGUUGGUAGGGUAAUGGCCUACCAAGGCGACGAUGCCUAGGCGGUGUGAGAGCAUGGCCGCCGCCACUGGGACUGAGACACUGCCCAGACACCUACGGGUGGCUGCAGUCGAGAAUCUUCGGCAAUGCCCGCAAGGGUGACCGAGCGACGCCGCGUGGGGGAUGAAGACCUUCGGGUUGUAAACCCCUGUCAGGGAGGAAGAAAGGCAGUGGGGCUCUCCCCGCUGCUUGACCACCCUCCCAGAGGAAGCACGGGCUAAGUUCGUGCCAGCAGCCGCGGUAAGACGAACCGUGCUAACGUUGUUCGGAAUCACUGGGCUUAAAGCGGGAGCAGGCGGCUUGGCAAGUCGGCGGUGAAAUCCUGCGGCUCAACCGUAGAACUGCCGCCGAAACUGCCAGGCUAGAGGGAGGUAGAGGGGCGUGGAACUUCCGGUGGAGCGGUGAAAUGCGUUGAUAUCGGAAGGAACGCCGGUUGCGAAAGCUACGCCCUGGACCUCUUCUGACGCUCAGGCCCGAAAGCUAGGGGAGCGAACGGGAUUAGAUACCCCGGUAGUCCUAGCCGUAAACGAUGGGCACUAGGGGGUAGAUGCUGCGAGCGUUUACCCUCGAAGCGAAAGCGUUAAGUGCCCCGCCUGGGGAGUACAGCCGCAAGGCCGAAACUCAAAGGAAUUGACGGGGGCUCACACAAGCGGUGGAGCAUGUGGCUUAAUUCGAGGCUACGCGAAGAACCUUAUCCUGGGCUUGACAUGCAGGUAGUAGAACCCCGAAAGGGGGACGACCGGUUUCAGUCCGGAGCCUGCACAGGUGCUGCAUGGCUGUCGUCAGCUCGUGUCGUGAGAUGUCGGCUUAAGUGCCUUAACGAGCGAAACCCCUGUCCCUAGUUGCCAGCGGGUCAUGCCGGGGACUCUAGGGAGACUGCCGGUGUCAAACCGGAGGAAGGUGGGGACGACGUCAAGUCAUCAUGGCCUCUAUGCCCAGGGCCGCACACGUGCUACAAUGGCCGGUACAAAGGGACGCGAACCCGCGAGGGGGAGCAAAUCCCUAAAAGCCGGCCCCAGUUCGGAUCGCAGGCUGCAACUCGCCUGCGUGAAGCCGGAAUCGCUAGUAAUCGCGCAUCAGCUAUGGCGCGGUGAAUGUGUUCCUGAGCCUUGUACACACCGCCCGUCAAGCCACCAAAGUGGGGAGCGCCCGAAAACGCCGGCAGCUAACCCUCCUCGGAGGGAGGCAGGUGUUGAAGGUGAGACCCACGAUGGGGACUAAGUCGUAACAAGGUAACC